UGAUGCAUUGAUAUCGUGAUGAGAUGCCUUGCAUGCUUAUGGAGAGAGUUCUUCAUAAGUAUGCAGUGGUUGCUGCGACCUCCUGCUCGCGAUCUCGGGCCGGGGGCAUGACAUAGCAUUUAACCCGACUGACUUCAUCCGUCCACUUUUUAUAUGCUAUUCUUUUGCUCAGUAGUAAGACGGUUUGGUAAUAGUAGGGGUUUCUGAUCGAGUACAUGAUCUAAUUUUUUAGAAAUCAAGACAAUCCUGAGGUUUCUAUGCCGGUCU
rnacentral:lncRNA from 1 species